GAAAAAAGAGAACCUGGAAAUUUCUACUACGACUUUUUUUGCCAGCAGAAAUUGGCAACUUUGAACAGAUAUUUUGUAAAGGUCAGCCAAAAUGGAGAGAUUCAUGGCAGCAGUUAGUGUUUAGGUAAAGAAAACUCGACAAAUGAAGUUGUAAUUUUGCCUCAAGUCGGUUGUUCUACAUUAGAAGAAAAGAGCGAUUAUCGGUUUCUUAAGUGUUUUGAUGGAAUCAUCGUCAUCGGAGAACUACGACGAAACCAACACCGUUCCCUUGAAUUUGUUAAGGAGGGAAGAUGCUACCAUGGAAUUGAGUGGGUCUAGCUGGGCAGUUAAACAAGUGACGCACUGUGUGAAUGGAUACAGAUUUCUCAAUGAAAACAAAGUGUCCGUAGCCGUCACAUGACCAAAUAGAAAGCUCCCUUACCUCACAUCAGUGGUCGUAGCAAUUUAUCUAGCCACAAUAUCCAAAAGCAUUAGACGGUAGUCCAAGGUAUCAUUGUCAGGACAACAAGUGUACUUUUGUAUACGGUGAUUGGAUGCCGAGCAGUUGUAGUCCUAUGCAGCCUUCGAAAU
rnacentral:sRNA from 1 species